UGAGGAACAUGACCUUCGGCGAGGGAUAGCCGGCCCAACGGCCGGGUAAUACCGCGUACGACCAUUCGGGGACAUCCCUGGAUGGUGAAAGCAGCAAUGCGCCGAUGGAGUGCCUCGCGGCCUAUCAGCUAGUUGGUGAGGUAACGGCUCACCAAGGCAACGACGGGUAGCUGGUCUGAGAGGAUGGCCAGCCACAUUGGGACUGAGACACGGCCCAGACUCUACGGGA
rnacentral:rRNA from 1 species